UUUCUGUAACAGAGAUCUUUUUAAAGUCUUGGACCACUUUAAUUAAUAUUAUUAUAAUUUUUUUGUGCCAUUUCAGAUAUGAGUCAUAUGUGUUUUGAUGACAGGAAGAUGUAAUGAUGGAAUUCUCAUUCUUUUUUUAAAAAACCCACAUAAAUGUUAAGAGACAUCCUUGAUUUUCCCAGGGAGUUAAUCUGAAGGAGCCCCUGAAGGCAUGUUAAUACCAUGACAGAUCUCGACAACACAAGGAAGCAGUCUGCCCUCCUGAGUCAGAAGCAAUCCUCUUAUAGGUCUUUUAAUCUGGCCUGUGACCCACACCCCCUCACCACUUUAAUGCAUUUGUACGUGUGCCCUCCCGUCCCACCCACCAGUUACUCCCCAUUCUGGGACUGCACGGAGGUCCAUACUGUGCGUAUGUCGACUAAGUUAGACAUUCACACAUCAUUUAUUCAGGCUAGCUCCGUAGUGGAUUAUUUCUCUCGGGUGUGUGGCCUAGACAGACGGCCAAAAUGAUCCGUCAAACACAUCGUCCAUUGUAUGCAGCCGCACAGCGUAUGUCUCAGAAAAAGGGACGCGCUCUGAAUCAACCUAAAUCUGAAACCUUUACUCAUCCCUGUGAUCUUGUUCACAAAGUGCAUUACUUUGUGUUCCUCCAAUGUAAAUAUCACGUUGGAUCGUUCCAGAGGAAUCGAGAGCCUGUUGAUUUUGGCCCCGUGUCUGUGCAGCUCUGUGCUUGUUGUGAUAGCUCUGAUGCCAUGAGAAUUUUACAAUGGCUCUGCUGUUUGUCUUCGCUGCUCCGUCUCCCUAAAGCUGAUGACCCCGCAAUGGCUAGAUAGACUGCUUUAAUCCAGAAAAGCUCACGUAUUUGAUGGUUGGCAGCAGAGAAGGCUCUUGCUUUCCUAGAGAAUGCAAUUGUCUCCUCGGAAUGGACUGGCCUUAUUCGCUGCUGUUAAGGUCCAUAGUUCACGCUGUAGAACAGUGGCUAUUGUAGAAAGGUCACUGUGGUGCACGCUCACUCACGCCAGGCACUACAGCCUGACAAAAGCUUCUUUGAUUGAGUUUUAGUGGUGAGCUAGGUAAUCUAAGAGGCUUCAGACCCUCUCUGAAGAGGUCAGGGUUUAUCUUCUUUCGUGGAAAAUCAAGAAGGAAAAAUAUUUUAAUCUAUUCGCGGCUAAGGAGGCAUUGAUGAGCUGCAUGGUCUUGUUAUUGGAAACUCUCAUCUAGAUAUGACAAUUUACUCUGAAUUUGGAUUCUGAAUAAAUGUAGAAAGAACAUUAGUGGUGAAUGGGGCAUUGAUGGUGGUUACUAGAAUUACUGAGCAAAGUAGAAAAAUGUCCUGCUCAAGUCUCUGAUUCUUGUAUAUACGUAUAUGGAGUUGUAAGCUGGAUUGUUUAAAAAAGUCAUGUGAUCUGUCAUCAUUUAUGCCCCUAAUAGAAAUCGUACCGAAGUAAUGUAAUAUGACAGAACAUAUCAAGAAGAUAUGCUAACUUUAUUAAAAAGCAGUGUUAAAUGUAUUCAUUCUAUAUCCAUAUUCUCUUCCUCUGGGCCUAUGUGUGUGUGUGUGUGUGUGCAUAUAAUAAACCACAUCUCUUUAGCAGACUCACCCUUCUCUCUGGGUUCUGCUGAACCUGUUGCACCUUGGUUCCCCACUGCUGUGCUGACAGCCUCCUUGCCUCUUUGAAUCUCCCCAGCCGUUUUCUGUAACCCUGACCUCUCUUAGGGAGUUUAUGGCCAUUUUAGUGUCCAAUAUGUUUCCAUUCCUUGGAUGAACAACUUCCUUCCAAUCCCCUUGGCUCUUGGCUCCCUCCUCUCAUUUUGUCUCCUCUGCUAUGCCUCUUGACUCAUGGUCCAUCCCCCCCGAUCAAAUCUCUGCUCACAGGUUAACUGUGAGCAUUAAAUAAGGUGAACAUUAAAUAUUGAUUUGAGUUAAUAGAAUAGUUUUUUUUUUUUAUCUUAAUUAAAAAUAAAUCUGAAUUCCAAGAUUCAAAGAAAGGUUUUUCAUUGUUCCACGCCUCUGAUUUCUGAGUUUGCAUCUCAAACUAUUUUUUUUUUUUUUUUUUUUUUACUAGAUUUUUUUUCUGCCGGAAAAACAAAAAAGGCAAUUUUAACUUUUUAUCUCAUAAUUUGGACUUCAUUGUGUCGGAACUGUAAGAUAUAAACUUAGAUCACUGUGUAAUAAUAGGAACAAUAGGUUCAUACUGAGGGUUUGCACUCAUUCAACUCCUUUUUAUUGUUUCACAUCCUUUCUGUAUCUGUUCAAAAAUUCAUAUUUUGUUUCAUUCAGCUGCUAUCUUACAAGCACUCAUUUUGAGUGUAGCAUUGAUUGAAUGUUUGCAAAGCUGUUCUGUAUCCUAUACUCUACAAGCAGUAUUUCUGUUGCACUGCAAGUGAUUUGUAUUAUAAUGAUAGGAUUCCCAAUUGCCCUGAGAUAUGAAACUUUGAAGAGUUUUGGCACGUCAGCCAGCCUUGUGUUACUGAGUAUGAGAGCUUUUGCACAUAACCUCCAGGUGGAUGGGACUCUUUGAUUUGUUCAGAAUGGUAAAUGAAGUGCAUCAACGAUUCAGAUUACAGAUGUCCAAUCAGAAAGCAAGUGUUGCCUUUGUGGGCGCUUGCACGAUUUAGUUCAAUAGAGAGACAAAACAGUGUCUCUAUUGUAUUACAGCUUCAUGCGGCACGAUAUAAUCGCCCACAAUUCCUGUCCACUCACUCUCCUGCUGUCAUGCCAUUCAAGUGGGAGAAAUUAAUUGUUGUAAACUCUUUAAUUAAAUCUUUCUGUUUCAGCCUUUCUAUUCAUUUCCUCGUUUCUCUCAGGAUUUGUGUCAAAUGUUGUCCUGACACAGAUUUUCUUAUGACAGUGGCCUAUUUAUUGCCUUUAAUUGAUGAACAAAGAUGCGAUAUACAGAUACAGUUUCACUGAACGUGGAAUUUUUAAUUGUUGCUCUUGAAAAGUACUCCGACGUUCUCUGGAAGCUCAGCUCAUGGGUACAACAUCAUAGGGUGCUUUUGGAGGGGACUAUGUUUAGACCAGUGAUUCUUAAACCACAAGAUGAUAAUUAUUUAAAAGAAAAUGUAUUGAAAUGCUAAAAUUACAAUGCCAAAUAAGCUAGAAGUUAAAUAAGUUAAUAGCAUCAAUAAAACAUGUAUUUUGUUUUAACAAAGGAACAGUGCUUUAAAGCAUUCAUUUCAUUUUUUGUUAUUCAUGGCUAUUCAGUUUUAUUUUACAGUUCUAGUUUCUUAUAAUGGGGGCUUUUGAUCAUUGACUUUGAGAACCACUGAUGUAGUAAUACCAUUCUUGAUGUAAUACUGAAAUGUAGUUUAAUGAAACAUUGUGGUUAGGUGCAGUACUUACGAUUUAUUCAAAUUGAAUGUAAUUAGAUUGCAAAUGCACGUAAAGAGAAAAUUCAGUCCCUUGGUACACUUAGUCUUUCAGCAGCUGUGGUGUUGCUUGUAUUUCCAAUGUUUCAGUGUCAGCACUACUGAUAUUGACUUUUAAUAGCUAGCGUCUGUCUAAGAGGGGUCAAAGUCAACAUCACACUGACUGUUUGGACGGAAAGGUUUUUUAAGCCCGACACCUCUUUUAUGCAACAUUACCAACUCUCUUGCUCUCUAACUGUCUUCCUCUUGUCCUCUUACAAAAAUACUGGAAAACCAAAUAAUAGCAUAUUAUUAAUAAUGACCCAUGAGUGACUCUGAAACCACUUACAAUCCAAUACAACUGUUCUAUAUUAAUUUUUAUGUUGUUUUGGUUUUACAGAAAUAGAAGAGAAGAAAAUGAACUUCGUAUGACAUAAUACUGACUUCCAGACCAAACCAUUUGGAUUUGAUACAAGCCCUCAGUGUUAUUCUCCAGGAGGACACUGGGAUGCCAAGAAGUGAAGGACAGACUGAAGCCGCAUUUAAUCUCUUAACUGUUGAUGUCACUCACAACAUGAUCCAGUCUUGGACAAAAAGACCCUGCCUGCGCCUUUAGGAAAAGUGAACCUGCGACCUCCAGGUGUCAGGCAUGCCAGUCUGUGGAGUAAAGAGCUGUUCAUUAGUUGAAUUGCCAUUUGAUGCCCAAGUGUCUACCACAACAUCCUACAGUAACUGACAAACUAUGUCUUUACAUACACCCUUUCUCUCUCAAAAUCUGUUCUUUUUCGAGUCCAAGUAUUAUUCUGAAAGACUUUGUUCCAGUCCAGAUUUGAUGAAUGUUAAACAUGAUAUCAUACUUUGUGCACCAACUGUUUUAGGAAAAACAAUGCUUUUUAUUAAAGUCACAUUCAUUUUCCUGCA